rnacentral:rRNA from 1 species
CUACGUGCCAGCAGCCGCGGUAAUACGGAAGGUUCGGGCGUUAUCCGGAUUUAUUGGGUUUAAAGGGAGCGUAGGCCGGAGAUUAAGUGUGUUGUGAAAUGUAGACGCUCAACGUCUGACUUGCAGCGCAUACUGGUUUCCUUGAGUACGCACAACGUUGGCGGAAUUCGUCGUGUAGCGGUGAAAUGCUUAGAUAUGACGAAGAACUCCGAUUGCGAAGGCAGCUGACGGGAGCGCAACUGACGCUGAAGCUCGAAGGUGCGGGUAUCGAACAGGAUUAGAUACCCUGGUAGUCCGCACAGUAAACGAUGGAUGCCCGCUGUUGGUACCUGGUAUCAGCGGCUAAGCGAAAGCAUUAAGCAUCCCACCUGGGGAGUACGCCGGCAACGGUGAAACUCAAAGGAAUUGACGGGGGCCCGCACAAGCGGAGGAACAUGUGGUUUAAUUCGAUGAUACGCGAGGAACCUUACCCGGGCU